rfam:Schistosoma rodhaini strain Burundi genome assembly, scaffold: SROB_scaffold0003522
AUCCAACUGACGAGUCCCAAAUAGGACUAAAACUUGUUUCCUGGAU